rnacentral:rRNA from 1 species
UACAGAGGUCUCAAGCGUUGUUCGGAUUCAUUGGGCGUAAAGGGUGCGUAGGCGGCGCGGUAAGUCGGGUGUGAAAUCUCGGAGCUUAACUCCGAAACUGCAUUCGAUACUGAUGAGCUUGAGUACAGAUGAGGUAGGCGGAAUUGACGGUGUAGCGGUGAAAUGCUUAGAUAUCGUCAAGAACACCUAUAGCGAAGGCAGCUUACUAGGCUGUAACUGACGCUGAGGCACGAAAGUGUGGGGAUCAAACAGG